rnacentral:rRNA from 1 species
AGGGUUCGAUUCUGGCUCAGAACGAACGCUGGCGGCAGGCCUAACACAUGCAAGUCGAGCGCGCCCUUCGGGGUGAGCGGCGGACGGGUUAGUAACGCGUGGGAACGUACCCUUUGGUAGGGAAUAGCCACUGGAAACGGUGAGUAAUACCCUAUGAGCCCUUCGGGGGAAAGAUUUAUCGCCAAAAGGAUCGGCCCGCGUUAGAUUAGGUAGUUGGUGGGGUAAUGGCCUACCAAGCCUACGAUCUAUAGCUGGUUUUAGAGGAUGAUCAGCAACACUGGGACUGAGACACGGCCCAGACUCCUACGGGAGGCAGCAGUGGGGAAUCUUGGACAAUGGGGGCAACCCUGAAUCCAGCCAUGCCGCGUGAGUGAAGAAGGCCUUAGGGUCGUAAAGCUCUUUCGCCUGUGAAGAUAAUGACGGUAGCAGGUAAAGAAACCCCGGCUAACUCCGUGCCAGCCGCGGC